rnacentral:rRNA from 1 species
GAUGAACGCUGGCGGCGUGCCUAAUACAUGCAAGUAGAACGCUGAAGGAGGAGCUUGCUCUUUCCGGAUGAGUUGCGAACGGGUGAGUAACGCGUAGGUAACCUGCCUGGUAGCGGGGGAUAACUAUUGGAAACGAUAGCUAAUACCGCAUAACAGUAGAUAUUGCAUGAUAUUUGCUUGAAAGGGGCAAUUGCUCCACUACCAGAUGGACCUGCGUUGUAUUAGCUAGUUGGUGAGGUAACGGCUCACCAAGGCGACGAUACAUAGCCGACCUGAGAGGGUGGUCGGCCACAAUGGGACUGAGACACGGCCCAGACUCCUACGGGAGGCAGCAGUAGGGAAUCUUCGGCAAUGGACGGAAGUCUGACCGAGCAACGCCGCGUGAGUGAAGAAGGUUUUCGGAUCGUAAAGCUCUGUUGUAAGAGAAGAACGAGUGUGAGAGUGGAAAGUUCACACUGUGACGGUAUCUUACCAGAAAGGGACGGCUAACUACGUG